CUUGGCUGUGCUCACUCAGUAUAAGCCAGGUUGGAAGGAAUAAGGAGAAGCCAAGAAAACGUGAACGAUGGAAAUGUGUAGAGCUACUGAGAUACCCCUAGGAACAGUAGUCCUACUUGUUUUCCUCAAAGUUCCUGGGCUUGCUGCAUCAAAAUCACUGAGGUGUUGUAAACACGAAGCUUCCAGGGACCAUUACAGGUCUAGUGAGGUUGACUUUCAGGAGCCAGAGCCCAUGAGUCAACACUUUUCACACUCCCCGAGCGCGUCUGAGGAGGACAAAGGUUUCAGAAGCUAUGUUAGAUGCUCAGUGAAAAAAACUGUUCCACCAUCACAUUUGUUGGAAAAUGCUACAGACUAUACUGCCCCUGACUUCCCUUGGAGAUUCCCGAUGUGUAUUAGCACGUGCUGGGUUCAGAUCAAUCCUGAGGCAAAGAGGCCUCUGUAGUCUGUGUAACACAGUGCUUCCCACACUGAUUUGAACACAGAAUCCUGUUCACAUAAAGCACCUUUGAACCUCCCUCAGACACAUUUUGGAAGCAAUGAAAUGCCCUAAUAGAACCUCUAUCACAAGUCAUUGGAGGACCCAACUCCCUACAUCUCACUUUUCUUCUCUUUUCCUGCCAUAAACCACCCAAACCAUUGUGAGAAGGAGGUGUGGUUCCCUGGGCACAGACAAAUGCACACAAGUACAAGAGAGUAACUACACUUAUUGUGUAAUUGGUUGCUUCUUAUAAUCAUAACUUGCUUUGGUUAUGCCCCGGAAGCAAUGUUGCAUAUUCCUUCCUCCCAUCUUCAUCAUUUACGUGUAAAUAUCAUAGCUUCAGAGGGGCUUUCCUUGAAUCCUACAAUGGAAACUGUAUACAGCCUUAAGCUUUCUCAGAGCACUCUUAACCUUUUCUUCAUUCGUACAUACCACAUUUAUAAUUAUAUAUUCCUUUGUGCAAAUGUGUGACUAAUGUCUCUCCCCACUAGACUGAACUCUAUGAGGGCAGGGGCUCUGGUCCAGCUUGUUCUCCUGGGGACUCAGGACUUAGCACCGUGCUUGGCAGACUGUAAGCACUCAACAAAUAUCUGUUGCUUGAGUGAAUUACAGAGUUUUAAUUUAGCAAUUCAUGUAGAACAUGAGAGUUGACACGAUUUAAACUUAGAGUGGUUCUGUCUGCACAUCAGAAUUUCCUGAAAAGCUUUUUAAAAACGCAAGGUUCUACCCAAGAUCUCCUAUCUGAGAAGGAGGAGAGGCACGUGUAGGAAUAAUAUGGCAGUCACUGGCUUACUGGAUGGAAAAAGGAGGGUACUCGUCCAUUUUAUUCUAGUCUCUUCUCCCAACUUGCUAUAGGUUUUGGGCAAGUCUCUGCAUGUUUUGGUGCCUUAAUUUCACUGUUCAGUAUAGUGGGAGUCCCACUUGCCACUCCAAAAUUACACCAUGAGAUGUCUACCUAAGCAUUUUGAAAUCCUAAAAUGAGAGGCGAUUCUGAAGUUCGUAUCGUGGUUACCAUAUCUAGCAUGGCGGGUUUCUAGCACAUGGCUGCGACUCUCGGGCUCUGCCAAAUGAUUUUUAAUAUAACUUCAGUAGGGAAGUUUUUUUACUGACACUGCCCCUUUAACAGAAAAAGGACUGCUCAACUUGUUAACCACUCUUUCUUACUUGACCUCUUGUUUUGUGGUGCAAAAGUUACACAAGCAGACCGUUAGACACAGACACGCAUGCUGGCCCGUUGGUGUUUUUUGCAGCGACAUCUAUCUCCAGCUAGGCAACCUGUGCCCAGAGCAGAUGAGAGCAUGCCUCGCCGACACCCUCAGGCAGGCCUCAGGGGCUCCCUGCCUGGGGCAGCUGCCGCAGCCGUGCUGAACUGGUCCAGCCCAGGUUGUCAGCAGCACAGGAAGCAGAGGGCACGACUAAUGUACAUGUCACCGUGUGGCUUAUGGUCACAGCCUCACCCUACCUUCGAGCCUGCACAAGCUGCAAGAGCAACAGGAAAUGGCCAAGGGUAUAUAUAGCCACAUUGUGUUUAUCCAAAGGUGCUGUUUUGCACAGAUUAUUAUGAACUUUUUCACUGGGAGAGGACAUGGCAUCUGCCUUUUCCGCAGGGCCUCCUGAGUUGCUUGUAAAAUUAAUCACUCCACCUGAGAAGGAAGAGGGACAUUACGCCUUUUUGGUAUCUUCAUUUUCAAGGUGAACAGACCAGUGCACUUUCUUUUCCAAAGGAUUUCCGGAUCCAUUCAACCAAGGCUCAGAAAGGAUGGGAAACAGCAAUGGGAAAAUGCAGGAUUUCCAUGAGCCUCUACAUACAAACCAUCUGGGAAAAUCAUUCAUUCUGAAACUCAUUAAUUAGGCUUUGCUUCCCCCCAUUACAUUCUCCUGGCAAAUAAAUAUGUACCUCCUUUCAUGGCGUAUCCGUCCCACAGCCCUGGUCUAGCUCCCCCAAAUCCUACCAGAGGCAGAGCCAACAGAAAAGUUAUGGGUGUCAGUGCUUGCGGGGCCCAGCACCACAGGCCACCUUUGUUCUCAAAGGGGAACAGUCCAGAGCAAAGGAAAAAGGUCUCUCGUUGCAGAUCCCCACCUAAGGCAGAGCCCUUCCUCACUGCUUUGAAAGUACUUCCUCGGGGUGCCAGUUUAUUUAUCAACGUUCUAGACUAAAACACACCUUCCUGAGCGGGGCCAUGGCUUUAGCAGUUCUGAUGGGCCCUUUACCUUGCUCCUCUCCCCUGCUGAAAAAGAGGGGAAUGAGUAUUAGGAACAGCGGAGCUACUGAAAUCCUGGUCUCACAAAGGUAGAUGUAAACGCUUGGGUCUAAUGUGCACACCUGGGUGAGCUUGGGCAAAUUAGGAAAGUUCUUUGAGAUUCAGGUUUUCAUCUGUAAAAUGAGGAUAAUGAGGUUGUGAGGCUUAGAUGACAGAAUACAAGUAAAGUUUUUAGCACAGAGGCCACACAAUCCAACACAAUACAUGGUAGAAGUAGUUGGGGUGGUAAGAAUAUGAAGUUGAAGUGGGACUUUAGAGCAGAAAGAAUCCUAUGGAGAGUUGACCCUGAUUUCAAGAUUUUCAACUUUUCUACGUCCUGUAACUUUUUCUACAAACUCAGUUGGCUGGCUCACUCAGCAUGGAUAAAGUCUGUAUUCUGAGAUAGGACUGCUUAGAAGGCAGGGGUUGGUUCAGUAGAGUUCCUCAGAGCCCUCUCUAAUGGAGUGCCACUUAAUGAAUGUUCUUGGUUAUUCCUAUUCUGAAAAGACAUUAAAGUUAUAGAUGCAUUUUGAAAAAAUAGGCGUCCCUUUAGUGCAAACAUUCUGAAGAACAAUUUAAAAGUUUUCCCAACUUCACAGUCCCACCAGCCAAUGCUGGGACAUGUUCCUCCAGGCCGGUUCAGAAGAACCCAGCUCAAGAAGCAAGAGGUGACUGCUUCUGGUUUCCAUCCUUUGAAAAAAGGUGGCAGAUAUAUGCAUCUAUUUUGUUUACUUUCUGCUAGGCACAAGGAGGUCAGAGGGAGCAAGGGGACCCAGGUUGUACCGAACCUUGUCUUGGUUCAGGAGCCCACUCAGCAGACCUGCAUUUCCCAUGGAAAGCCGACGUACCUCAUGGCUGAUCCUUUUCUUUUCCCACCUCUUUAAUUGUACUGAAUCCCAAACCAUUGUUCAGUCUCAUUACUGAAAGUUGAGCACAGGGGCCAAAGCCUGCGGCUGUGUGUGCCUGAGAUUAAGACUUUUAUCUGAUCUUCGACAACUUGCAGAGGAAAUCCUGUUCCAAAACUCAGAGCCCCCAGCGAAAGGUUGCCAGCAGCUCUUCCCUCCCACCUGCGAGAUAAAUCAGGACACCUGAAAUGCUAACACGGGCUCAUUGUUUAUAAAUAUAAUAAAUUCACUUCCUGUCACUCUAUUGAUCCCUUCCUACUUUUUUUCUUUUAAACACAGAGCAUAACAAAGUCUCUUGGCAGAGCCCGGCUGGGUGUCCUUAGUGUCCUCCUCCACAGCAGGUCACAAAGCAGAGGUGCCUGCCUAUCAGAGGACUCUCCCUGCAGGUGAAACUCAAAUUGCUGUCUGGGUUCAGGAUUAGGAGUCACAUGGGAGCCCGGCCAGUGCUGCGUGAACUGCGUCAGGCGAGGGCAGCCCUGUCAUCACAAUGGAGGCCCGAUGCGGUUGGAUCAGAGAACACCAGCCUGCGAGGAAAAUGAACUUGCUAGUCAGUAUGGAACUGCCCUGAGGGGAAGUGAGUCCUGGAAGGGAACCUUCACUUCUGCCCGGGGCAGGCCAGAGAAGAGAGCAGGGAUGGUGCUCUCUCCACGCCUUCAACUCCUUACCGCUCUACUUAAACCAACGAGAAGCAAAACUAGGCCAGGCAUGGAAGACAAUGCCCAUUCUGCUCUGAGAUGGCCACGGCUGGCGCCUGUGACAGGGGCUGCUGGAUGCAGUGGCAUGCUGGAAUGGGCUCAUCUAGGUUUGUGAGAGCUGACUGCCACGUUCUUCCCUACUCCACAAUGAGUGACAUCACCUCAGUAGCUUGCAAACGGCCACGUGGGAGUAUUUACACCGUGGAAAUAGGUGAACGCUACACAAACCUGGAGAGCUGGUUGUUAAACAAUCAUCAGCACACAUGGUUGGAUGGACCUUCUUCUUAAUCAAAUGGGGACUUAAAUCCAGGCACGGGGCCCUCAGGCUGCAGCAGGCUGGCUUCUGAAGCCCACGUAUCAGCUCUCUUCACAGCCACCACCGUAUACCUGGCACUUGGAUUCACCCAAAUCUCGGCUGACUUCAUCACACCAAAGGUUUGAACCAGGGCCUGUCCUGCUGAGAUUAGCGUGCAGGCAUCCGAAUUCCUUCUACUCUUCCCCUUGGGGAUCUAAAGCAGUUUCCUGUGGCUGCUUUUCUAAUCUAUAAGCUGUAAAAUAUCUAAUAUUAGCCACUAUCCAUUUAGGAGCUACUCGUUGCCAGGUACAGAACGAAGCACUUCGCGUGAGUUAUCUCAUCUAAUUUCAUUCUCACCAUAGCCUUAUGAAAUAAUCUCCUCCUUUUAUGGUUUGAAAAGGCGAGGCUUGGGAUGUUACCCAGCUUAUAAGUGGCAGAGCUAAGAAGUGAAUUCAGAUCUGUCUGAUUCCAGUGUGCUCCUUCCAAAGUCCAUGCUCUUUCUACUACACAACAUGCCUAUGGUUAAUAACAUUAUUCUUCCUUCUUGAAAAUAUAUCCAAGUGAUAUUAACUCUAGAUAGGACCUUCAAGUAUGGCAGAGUGCCUAGGGCCACGAUGCAAUCAGUAUUACCCUUCCCAAAGAUGAGCCACCCUCCCCCACAGAACACACUUCCUCUUCCCCCUGCUCUAACCCAGCCGUUGUCCCUCCCCUCCUUCAACCUCUACUCAGAAGUUACUUCCUCCUUGAAGCUUUCUCUCAUUAACCCCACCCAGUUGUGAUCACUUCACCAACUUUGCUUCUCCUCAAAUACUUACACUUAAAUUUACACUAGAUUUCUUUUGCCUCAUUUUUACAACUGGAGUUCCUUCGGGUCUUCUUCAUUAAGCUGUAGUUUCUCCCUCUCUUUUGUCCUUCCCACAGGGCCUGGCAAUGAAUGUUGUCCACAGGGGCCUCUUGGGGUUGGCCUCCUUUGCCUUUGUCUGUGGGUCUAUGAAUGGCCUGCUCUUCCCAUCCACAGCAGGGUGCAACGGCAUUCUCCUGAUGAUCUGGCCAAAUGACUUAAGUAUCCUCCUUGUUCUGACCAAAGACACCAUUGGUAUGGAGCUUGGGCAGGAGGUCAGGAGAAAAAGCCCAGGCCACUUCUGUGUCACUCAGGGACUCUCCUUUCCAGCCUUAACAUUCAAUGAAACUUCUGAGAGGACUUCUUUUGUCCAGUCUUGGGCCAGACAAGGACUUGAUUCUUUCUAAGAGGGUCUUAAGCUUUCCCAUCACGUCCUUCCUACUUCCUGCUCCCUUAGAUUGACUUGAAGGUUGAAACUAGCAAUGGAGUAGGAGUUUAGGGCUGGGUUUGAGGAGAUAUCUUUCUCUUUAAUCAAUGCUGUUCUGAAAGGUGUGAAUACAUAGGUGACUAUGAGUGGGUGUUAGCUGGGCAGGAUGGGGCUGAGACAGGAGUUGGGACACAGUUGCACAUAUUACUAGGUGUUUCAAAAGCUUCCAAGUAGACUUAGAGUAGAGGCUGGACCUUUGGUCUUCUGGAAGAAGAUACUAGUAACGUGGUAGAAGCAGCUGGUCUGAUUUGCAUUUGGGAAGCCAGAGUGUUUCAGACAGCUCAGCGGAUGCAGAGAGUCAUUCCUAAGAGGGCUUCCCUGGCCGGUUAGGACUUCUCACUCCUCCCAAACUCCUCUCUGGCCUUGUCCCCUAAUACCCUGUGCCCUGGACAUGCUAUACUUCCUCUCCACUCUAAAGGCCCAGCUGUGGUCCUCAGACUCCCUGCUUCUGCCCUUCUGAUGCGUUAACAGGCUUUCCUCCCGCCUGGCCUACCACUUUUAGACUGGCACACACGGUUUUCACAAGACGGGUUUUUGUGGUUUGGGUUUUUUUCCUUCAUAAGUUUGCAGCUGCUAGUUUUGAAACCACCAGCCCUGAGGCAACUCAGUCAAAAAGAGAGCAAGAGAGAAAGAAAAGGAGAGAGAAUAAAAGAAAGGGAUGACAAGAGGUCUUUCUGUAAAUCAUGUAUUACAUUCAAAGGCCUGUGCGGCAGUCUCGCCCUUGCUUUGCCUUCUCUGGAGGCUCCAGUUAGUGCAAGGCUCCCACAAACCGUUAAGGUCGCUGGGCAUUUGCCUCAGGUGGAUGUGAUGAGGUGUGCUCCGAAUUCCGGAGCCCCUGGCUGCUGUGCUCACAGGUGAGUUGUGAGGGGUGAGACUUUUGGUUAUGAUCUGAAGGGGACCUCCAGCUUCCUAUACUGCUUGAAGGUGUGUACAUGUGUGGAUGUACCAACAUGUGCAUGCUGAGGACAGGGAAGAGGGGAGGGGGAGACACAGGAAGACCCUGAUUGCAUUGUCAAGUAUUAUGUAGGGAUUGUGUUCAGGCCCAUCUAUGGGACAAUUUUCAUAUGCAAACACAAGUAUUUGGCUGAACACAGACUCGGAACAAGAAGAGGAGCCAGAAACAAACAAAUCCAGAAAAAACUCUUCACAUUCAGGUGUUCCCUUCCCCCUCCCACAUUCACUCGCAUUUGUGGCAGCUAAUUAUAGUUUUUAUCUAAACCAAGAGAAGACCUAGCGUCACAGCCUAGAGUCAUACCACUGGGCAGAGCACUGAGGCUUGUCAGGAAGGCGAGAUGUCAAGUUUAUUUUGGGUGGCUUUUGCGUGUCAUCUAUUUGCUGGCAUUCCAACUUGAACCCCAGUUCUCUGUGGGCCUCACAAAAGCACUUUUGCUGGUGGAAGAGGGAGAAUCGUGGAAAGAAAAUGAGAAAUGGUUGGUCCUCCAAGUCAGGCCUGCUUUGACCAGAGAGGGCAGGGAUCAGUCUGGGCUGUGGGGAAUUUCACAGGAAUACGAACAAAGGAACGUCAACUUCUGUUUGUGCUCCUCCUAGAACAAUGAACCCAUUGCGAUCUAAUAUCAAAGUGAUUUGUGGUCAUGUUUGCCCUCACCCUUUCUCUCUACUUGCUCCUCCCCAAAUUUACUGGGGGUCCCUUGAGCGCUUGAGAUAUGUUUUCUUUGCAUGACCUGUAGAACUACCCAGCACAGUGAGUGCUCUGCAUGUAGUAGGUGCUGUAUAAAUGCUUAGUUAAUGCAACUGAACGGAACACUGGUUGUCAUACUCUAACAAAAAUGUGUACUGAUUUUCCUGUCAUCUACAACACAAAAUCCAAAUUCUCUCCAGGCUGGCAUAGAGGUUUCUGAGGGUCAGGCCCCAGCCGUUUUCCAGCUCCGCGCCUGCUGUCCCAUGCUUGCGGCUCUCUUCCUACCCCGGCACGCCCUUUCCCACGGUCACGCUCUGCCAUGCUCUUCGCUCUCCCUGGAGGGAAAAUUUGUCAGGCAAAUUCCAAGUCACUUUAAAAAUUAGCUCCAUUGGUACCUGCGCUCUGUGAAGCCAUCCCCAACUCCCAGCCCUUUCCAGCACACCGAGUUGUCCCUUCAGUUGGUCUCUUGUGACACUUUGUACAGACUAUUGUGAAAGCACUUGCUCUUCUUGAGUGUGAAUAUUCACUUAUGCCUGCUUCCUUCAGGGGACUCUGAAUUAAUCAAAGCCAGGGUCCAGGUCUUAUGCAUAAUUGCAUCCUCAAUGCUGCACACUGCCCAGAACUAGUAGGCGCUCAAUGAAUGUUUGAUGCUUAAAUCAUGAAAGAAACAAUGCGUUCCAUUCGUCCAUUCCUUAAAGUCUGAGGCAGAGUCUUCCUGUACCUGUCCUCCUUCUUUCCUUCUCUUUCCCACACGUGGCCACCUCCGGGAGCGUAGCACAAACGUGGUGCCAGGAAUGCAGUUCUUUUAUUUCCAUUUCUGGAAUGUCUAUAUUCUUGUGCACAAGUUCCAUAAAAUGACCCACAGCCACUGCUGCUCACCACAUUUCUAGGUCUCCAACAUUUGUAAAGACAUUGACUUAGGCCCUUUAUCACCCAAAGAUUUAGACACCCAUGAAGAUGAGCUUUCCUAGGUCACAGUGUGCCUCCUCCAUGAAGCCUUCCCACACUAGCACAAACCCACAGGGAUUUUUCUUCUCAUCUCAAUUUUUUCGGCGUAUCCAGCUUAUACUGCCUGAUCUCCCACUUGCUCCCUGUUGUCUUUAAUUGCUCCACUGCUGUUUUGGACAUGUAUACAGUUGUCAUGGAUAUUUUUCCUCCUGAUUCUUUGGAGACUUCCCCACCCCACGGUUCACAAUACUUGAUAUGUGGUCAGAAUGCAAGAUGAAUGACUGUGUUAGCUGUCCCUGCGCUGACUUUCUGCGCUCUGCGUCACUCCCCAGACUGCGUUUUCCCAAGGGAACUUUACCUCAUCUGACUAGCUCCUGAGCAGGCAAUAUUAAUUAGCAACAUCUCAAUGACUAGAAUUCCUGUUAUGGAAUAAAUCUCCAAUAAUUUACAUGUUUUCCACCCACGUAGUUGCACUUUACUGUGAAAGCCAUACUACUUAGGCCCUCGGUUCAAAUAUUGAUAAAGACUGUAAAAUUGAGGCCAACGUAGCUAAGUAGGCCAGGUGGUUUUUUGGUGUUUACAAUCACCAAAUUGGUGUCUCUAGCCUGCUCUUCUCCCCGUCUGAACAUCCUCAUCCUGCACUCCUGUGGGGGUGCCCUCCCUUCUCUGGGUUGGGCCUCUCUGAGAAGCAUCCCUUGACAGCUUCUCCUUUGCCUUCUCGCCUUCCCCUCCCCCACACCCUGUCAAAACUUGACAGGUUUGCCAUAUGCACAGGACCUUGCUAAGCUAAGCUCUUAUAGUAAAUGCAGUCACUCAAGUCAUCUCGCUGGGUAACUUGCAUUUUGACAUGAGUCUCCCAGAAGCACAAAGGAAUAAGCUCAUGGUGACCAUUUCAGGCAGAUGGGAUACUGGUGAUGGAGACUUCUGGGGAAUGAACCUUUCAGAGCCUCCCACCACGGCUACCUGGGAUGUCUACAUCUUGGGAUGCCUACAUCUAAGGUCAGCUGUGGACAGGGGAGCGGUCCCCCAUCCCCUCCCUGCUCCAGGAUGGUCACAGGGUCUCUGACUCUAAAGCCACUUGGUGGGGAAGGAAUGGAGGUCUCCUCAAUAAAUACCUGGCCUGAGUUAUCUGACUUGGAAUUCAGGGUGUGGAAAGUCAUCCAAAUGCCUUCAUUCCCCAAACCGAACUUCUAGAGAGUCUGGAGCCGGCAAGUUUCAGAUUCAUUUGCGUCAACAUGUUGUUUGGUUAAUGCAGCUGAGCAUCUAGGCCCAUUUUCUUAGAAACAGGAAAUCCCAGUGUGCCAAGAGUAAACAGAUCCCAGCCCCCAAAGGUUUGAGUUCAUUUAGGAACUCCCUGACCACAAGGGUCUGUGAAGCUGUGUGCUUGAGCCAGGCAUGCUCUCCUGCCCAUAAUUGAUCUCGCACAAAGGGAUGGUCUUUCUGCAGCUCAGCAGCUGGAAGAGCUGUGAGCCUGAACCAUGAUCUAGGGAGGCUGGGAAUAGGCUAAGGAUAGGAUCCCGAUGUCAGACAUAAGAUAGAGGAGUAUCAGGGGUCUUUUAUAACUCAGCAGGCAUUUCCCCUGAAAUCCCCACCACAGACUCUUCAAUUUUGGGUGCUUCCUUUUUCUUCCUUUAUAUCUACCAUAAGAGCAGGGAUUUUGUCUGUUUUAUCCUCCAUUCCAUCCCCACCAUCUACUACAGUGCCUGGAAUAGGAGGCACUAAAUACGUAUUAGUAGAAUGAAUGAAUGAUUAAGUGGCACCAUGUGAGUCGAAGCAUUAAUGAAGGGCUUGACCAUCCCAGUUCUGGCAGACAUCAUGCAGAUGUUGCUGGUCCUGAGGGGCUCACAGAGAAUUCUUGCUCACAAACUGGUCAGCACCCACUUGGGAAGGACAGACUCUACUGAAGCUGCCAGGAGGUUCCAGCUUCUCAACAUUUCGUUUGUUGAGCAGCUAGGUUAGUCGGGGCUGGAGAAGAAGAGAUGGUUGACUGGGUAGAGGGGGAAGUUCAGGGGGUGGCCAGAUGGGCUCCUGCUGCAGAGAAGUCCCUCUCCCUGGUCAGACAAAGAGCCCUCAGAAAGCUACCUUCCCAACCUCCGCCACACACGCAGAAGGCGGAGAGGGCCUGGCUUCGUUCUGACGAGGAGCCUGGCUGACCGUGUUGCUGUGAGGGGCAGAGGAGUGGCAGGCAGCUGCCAGACGCGGGAGUCUCUGAGCAGUAACUGCAGAGCCUGACAACGGAAGAAAAGAGCCCUGCUCAUUCAACCGACGACUGUGCAGUGCUCCAGUCGCACCUCGCUUUCCUACAGCACCUGCCUGCCCGGCAUUCCUUCCUAGCUUAUCCCAGGAAAGCAAGGGAGGCCCAGGAAGCAAAAGAGAUGUGCACAAAGGCGAGGGUAAGUCUCGGCUUGUCACUCAAAACCACCCGAGUUCUCUCCAGUUCCACAGAGCUCAUCCUGUGUGCAUCCAGACCCCUCACUGCCUUUGUGUAAAGCACCCUUUGACAGUUAAGUAGGGAGAUUCCAGUGACUUCCAAAUGCCACAGCUAUCUGAAAUUGGGUGCCUUGGGCUCCCAGGGGAGUCUACUAAUUCAAGGUAAAAAUAAAUAAAUUAUAGUACACAUACGUACACUCACAUAUAUUUUGUACACAUCGAUAUGUAUGCAUGUGUGUGCAUAUAUAUACACAUACACAUCAUGCACGUAUAUGUACGAGAAAGGAGGGGAGAGAUCAAGUGCACACACACUCCUCCCCCAUUUGCCCUCACAACAUUGUGAAAUGGUAUAUUUUCUUCAUCUAACUGAUGAGGAAACUAAGAAUCUAAGAGGUUAAGUGGCAUGGCCGGAAGUGGCAGAGCUAGAAUUUGAACACAGUCCCGCCUGUCUCUACAGCCUGGGCUCUUUAGCAGAGAGCCUCUCUCCUUCCAGCGUUGCCAUCCCGGCAGCCUGCUGUGAUCGCAGUGAGUCCCGAGACUCCAUAAUUACUGGGUUCGACUUGGCCUCCAGAAUAACCAUGACAAAAUUUGUGGAAAUGUUCACAACAGCUCUUUACUUCCAGGUUCUGAGAUCAGAAACGGAAGUUUCAAAAUACCGAAAGUUCGUUUAUGUUGAACAUACUGCUUAGGCUAAAAGCAGGAAGUCCAAGAAAGCCUGAUCUCAUGAGGUUUUUCAGCCCAAUUUGGAUCCACAUCUGCACUUCUGGAUUUUCCACUGAGUCCAGCCUCAGCUGCUCAGCAGCUCCUCCCAUUUCACUGACUCUCCGCCUCCAGCAUGGGGUGCUGAUAAAUAAGAAAAUCUGCUGCUAUUAACUAAGAUUUACCCCGCAAUUGGCCAGUUGCAAGGUGGUGAGCUGAGAUAGGCUGUGGGGGGAACAACUGAAAUUCGAAAAAUAUGCAGGUUUCUUUUUGUAAAGCUGAAAAAAACCCCAAGCUCAAACAAACAAAAGCUCUAAACAAUAAGUCAUCCAAACAGCGGCCUCUGUUCUUGUCUCCAGGUGCAGGAAACAAGUGGAAAGGAAUCUUGCCACCUACUCCUUCCCUCCUCAGACCUGGUCUCCUAUUGGUCAGGCUCCAGCCGGGCUGGGAAAGGAAGGGAAGGUGACGGCGCUCAGUGGCCUGCCUUAGAAUGCCAGUGUUGGGGGAGCCCCAGAAGGUUGGAGAGAAUCAUCUCCAUAUCCUGACUCCCACUGUGUGAGGAAUUUUGGAGAGCAAGUCCCUCAUGUUGUGGAUGAGGAAACUGAGGCUAGCAGAAGUUACAGGAUUUGCUUAGGGUCGCACAUCUGGUUGACAGCAGGUGCUGGCAUUGGAACCCGAGUCUACCGCAUCAUGUUGCCUCUGUUUUCAGUUAGAAUAGCUGCCCCUCCUAUGUCUCAGCAGUCAAAUGAGUCAAUAGACAUGAUAGAGGUUUUAAGCGACAAAGUAUAAAGUGAAUGUUAGCUGGUACAGUUUUACCUAUUCCGGUUGGUGGGGUAGACAGUACAGCUGAUGCUAUCUUUAAUUUGAGUCCCUUUCCAUUCCAAACAUUGGAUUAUCUGGGGAUGCCAUUUUCUAUGAGGCUUCUCUGCGAGAAGGGUUCAGAGGCUUCCAGGAACACCUCCCCUCCGCCACCAUCCCUGGCACCACCUUAGAUGUCCCUUUGGGAACAGCUGGAGGACUUUGGAUAAUAAGAAUCCACAAUGCAUUGCGGUUUGGGCUUCUUUACUCAUGGUCUGGAGCAUAUUCUCUUGAAGCAUAAUUUUGAAUCAGCCACACCCAACUGAAACAACCCAGGAGAGGUAACAGACCGCAUCAUAGGGCCCCCCCCUUUUCAGUUUGAGGAGCUCAGGCACCCAUGGGUUACUGUCUCGCCUUGUAACCCUGCUCAAACUGGGUGCAAAGAGGCCCAGCAUGACACAGUUAGUGGCUGUGUGACCUUGAGCCAAUUAUUUAAUCUCGCUGGGCCUCAGUUUCCUCAUCAUAAAACGGUACUUGCCACGUAUACCUCAUGGGUUGGGGUGGGAACUAAAAGAGAUGUUUAUCAAGUGCCCCGUGCACAUGUGGAUGUGGGCUCCCCCCACCUUCCCUGCAGUCCAACACCACCCCUUAGGGUAAAGCCAAGGACCCAAAUGUCUUGGAAGAAGCAGCUCUGAGCCCCAGAAGAACUGCCAGAAUCUGGAAGAACAAGUUUUCAAAUUUGCAGUACACUUUUUUCUUCCUUCGGAGGAAUUUCUUACACUUAGCAAUCAUUAAAUAAAUACCACCUUAUAGCAAAACCUUAAUGAGUCUGCUUUCCUAUUAGAGAGGGCCUUCUGGGAUUUUCCUCUCUCCUUACACAGGUCCUGUACUGUUUCCUUAGCCACAUCACAGGUGCACAUUCUUCGCUGGGUACUCUGGCUUGGGGUGCACUUGGAGCAGGGGUGAAGAGGGCAAUCUCCCCCAUCCCUCGAAGUUGCAGUGGGAGGAAACGGGGCCUUUCAUGUGGCGGGGUCAGGCAUUCUCCCCAGAGCAGUACGUUCCCCGGAAGCCAAGCCGGUGGGCAGAGGCCGAGGCCGCCGCCGUUUCCUCCCCACCUUGGAAAAUUACACAGAGUGCCGCUUUGCCCACUGACUGCCAGGCAGAUGGCCUGCUGCUUUCUGAAACUGUCCUACCUCC